rnacentral:tRNA from 1 species
GCGGGACGUGUUCGUCUGGUGACGACGCCACCCUCACGAGGUGGAGCAGCCGAGUUCGAUCCUCGGGUCCCGCA